CAGCUGUCCCUGCGCUUGUGCAACUCAACAAGGAGGGGCAAUGAUACUUCUCAGUUUCAACUUCACGGAAGUUAGCACGCUAGCUGAAUGAUCAACGUUGUGUCAAGGCCUGUGCAUCAACUGUUUGAAACUGUGUUUCUCACUGAGGGAGGCACAUUUUCUAUGGCCCUUGUCUGUAAUCAGCUUCCGGCAUAAGCUUGCGGCAGCGGUGGUGCAGCUUGAACAGGAAGACGGGCCAAGACUGUAGAGAUUGAGGAAGUUACUGCUCCGUCGGCUCCUCCGGUUCAUCAUGACUGAAUUCUGGGUCUGCUUCAGCUGCUGUAUUGCUGAACAACCUCAACCUAAGAGAAGACGACGAAUUGAUCGAUCAAUGAUUGGGGAGCCCACAAACUUCGUCCAUACCACACAUGUGGGAUCUGGAGAGAUGAACAUUGGGCCAUCUGUGGACACUGUUCAAGCACAGAUGAGGUCCAAAGGUGGUUACGGAAAUGGUGUAUCGGAUGGUGUCCAGAUAUAAUCAAGUUGAAAUAAGGUGACAGAAACUACUGAUUAACGAGGGGCCAUUUGGAAAGCUGAAAUGUACUCCGAUCACAUUGUAAAGCAGAAAAUCCUCUGGUAUUGAUGAAGUUGUAUAUAUUUUCAUACUGAAAGCACUGCAAUACAUUCAUAGCUAUCCUGGUUGCACUGUACAAAUAGAUCCAUUAGCUUGAUGCUUGUUGAAUUUAUGUAUGAGGUUUUUUUUUAUUUGUUUUUUUCUUGCUGUCUUUUUUUCUUUUUAGAUUUAUGUGUGGGUGCGUAUUUAUUUUUGGAGUCAUCAAGCAAUUGGUUUUCAUAUUGGUAUUGAUAUUGGUAUUGAAUAUUGAUAUUGUGGCUGGGCCACUGAGCAUAUUAAGGCACAUUUUCAUGAUGUUCUUUUUUAAAGUCAUGUCAUUAAAGAACAGUUUUAUGAUCAUAGCCACUUGAAUUUUAUACAAUUAAAAGAAAAUUCAGGGUCACAGAUUUUACAUCGAAUUUUGCAAACGGUAGAGCACACUGUUGUUAAAUAUGAUUCAGAAAAGUAUUUUUGUAAAAAUCCUGUAUUUUUCUCUUGAUGUUUAAAUAAAGUACUUUAAACAAA